rnacentral:rRNA from 1 species
AGUGAACGCUGGCGGUAGGCCUAACACAUGCAAGUCGAACGGCAGCACAGUAAGAGCUUGCUCUUACGGGUGGCGAGUGGCGGACGGGUGAGGAAUACAUCGGAAUCUACUUUUUCGUGGGGGAUAACGUAGGGAAACUUACGCUAAUACCGCAUACGACCUACGGGUGAAAGCAGGGGAUCUUCGGACCCUGCGCGAUUGAAUGAGCCGAUGUCGGAUUAGCUAGUUGGCGGGGUAAAGGCCCACCAAGGCGCCGAUCCGUAGCUGGUCUGAGAGGAUGAUCAGCCACACUGGAACUGAGACACGGUCCAGACUCCUACGGGAGGCAGCAGUGGGGAAUAUUGGACAAUGGGCGCAAGCCUGAUCCAGCCAUACCGCGUGGGUGAAGAAGGCCUUCGGGUUGUAAAGCCCUUUUGUUGGGAAAGAAAAGCAGCAGGUUAAUACCCCGCUGUUCUGACGGUACCCAAAGAAUAAGCACCGGCUAACUUCGUG